GACCAAUUGAAUGUGGAGGAUUUAGUCGACACCCCUAUUAGAGGCAUUCUUACAUUGUUUUACCUGCUGCAUACGGAGGGAGAAGGAGAUGCUGUUUUGGUUUGUACAAUAAAAGUAGUGAAAGUGGAUACGUCUUGUGCCGUCUCUGUCCCAAGAGGGAAUUAUUAAGGAGCGGUUACAGUUAGAGCAGGCUUAUUCUUCUCUACCUUCGUGAGUGUACAUUU